CCGCAUAAGAUUGUAGCUUCGCAUGGAGCAGCAAUCAAAGGAGCAAUCCGCUGAAAGAUGGACUCGCGUCCGAUUAGAUAGUUGGCGGGGUAACGGCCCACCAAGUCGACGAUCGGUAGCCGGACUGAGAGGUUGAUCGGCCACAUUGGGACUGAGACACGGCCCAGACUCCUACGGGAGGCAGCAGUGAGGGAUAUUGGGCAAUGGGGGAAACCCUGACCCAGCAACGCCGCGUGAGGGAUGACGGUUUUCGGAUUGUAAACCUCUGUCCUCUGUGAAGAUAGUGACGGUAGCAGAGGAGGAAGCUCCGGCUAACUACGUGCCAGCAGCCGCGGUAAUACGUAGGGAGCAAGCGUUGUCCGGAUUUACUGGGUGUAAAGGGUGCGUAGGCGGAUUGGCAAGUCAGAAGUGAAAUCCAUGGGCUUAACCCAUGAACUGCUUUUGAAACUGUUAGUCUUGAGUGAAGUAGAGGUAGGCGGAAUUCCCGGUGUAGCGGUGAAAUGCGUAGAGAUCGGGAGGAACACCAGUGGCGAAGGCGGCCUACUGGGCUUUAACUGACGCUGAGGCACGAAAGUGUGGGUAGCAAACAGAAUUAGAUACCCUGGUAGUCCACACUGUAAACGAAGAUUAAUAGGAGGGGGGGGUCUAACCCCCUCCGUGCCGGAGUUAACACAAUAAGUAAUCCCCCUGGGGAGUACGACCGCAAGGGUGAAACUCAAAGGAAUUGACGGGGGCCCGCACAAGCAGUGGAGUAUGUGGUUUAAUUCGACGCAACGCGAAGAACCUUACCAGGUCUUGACAUCCAACUAACGAAGCAGAGAUGCAUUAGGUGCCCUUCGGGGAAAGUUGAGACAGGUGGUGCAUGGUUGUCGUCAGCUCGUGUCGUGAGAUGUUGGGUUAAGUCCCGCAACGAGCGCAACCCUCGUGAUUAGUUGCUACGCAAGAGCACUCUAAUCAGACUGCCGUUGACAAAACGGAGGAAGGUGGGGACGACGUCAAAUCAUCAUGCCCUAUAUGACCUGGGCUACACACGUACUACAAUGGUCGUUAACAGAGGGAAGCAAUACCGCGAGGUGGAGCAAAACCCUAAAAACGGUCUCAGUUCAGAUUGUAGGCUGCAACUCGCCUACAUGAAGUUGGAAUUGCUAGUAAUCGCGGAUCAGCAUGCCGCGGUGAAUACGAUCCCGGGCCUUGCACU
rnacentral:rRNA from 1 species